ACGAACGCUGGCGGCGUGCUUAACACAUGCAAGUCGAACGGAAAGGCCCUGCUUUUGUGGGGUGCUCGAGUGGCGAACGGGUGAGUAACACGUGAGUAACCUGCCCUUGACUUUGGGAUAACUUCAGGAAACUGGGGCUAAUACCGGAUAGGAGCUCCUGCUGCAUGGUGGGGGUUGGAAAGUUUCGGCGGUUGGGGAUGGACUCGCGGCUUAUCAGCUUGUUGGUGGGGUAGUGGCUUACCAAGGCUUUGACGGGUAGCCGGCCUGAGAGGGUGACCGGCCACAUUGGGACUGAGAUACGUCCCAGACUCCUACGGGAGGCAGCAGUGGGGAAUAUUGCACAAUGGGCGGAAGCCUGAUGCAGCAACGCCGCGUGCGGGAUGACGGCCUUCGGGUUGUAAACCGCUUUCGCCUGUGACGAAGCGUGAGUGACGGUAAUGGGUAAAGAAGCACCGGCUAACUACGUG
rnacentral:rRNA from 1 species